rnacentral:rRNA from 1 species
CCUACGGGAGGCUGCAGUAGGGAAUAUUGCUCAAUGGGGGAAACCCUGAAGCAGCAACGCCGCGUGGAGGAUGAAGGUUUUCGGAUUGUAAACUCCUUUUGUUAGAGAAGAUAAUGACGGUAUCUAACGAAUAAGCACCGGCUAACUCCGUGCCAGCAGCCGCGGUAAUACGGAGGGUGCAAGCGGUACUCGGAAUCACUGGGCGUAAAGAGCGCGUAGGCGGGAUUGCAAGUCAGAUGUGAAAUCCUAUGGCUUAACCAUAGAACUGCAUUUGAAACUGUUAUUCUAGAGAAUGGGAGAGGUAGGUGGAAUUAUUGGUGUAGGGGUAAAAUCCGUAGAGAUCAAGAGGAAUACUCAUUGCGAAGGCGACCUGCUAGAACAUAACUGACGCUGAUGCGCGAAAGCGUGGGGAGCAAACAGGAUUAGAUACCCGAGUAGUC